GGUGGCGUGGUGCAAUGGUUAGCACUGGAGACUCUGAAUCUCCCGAUCAGGGUUCGAUUCCCUGCGCGACCU
rfam:Gregarina niphandrodes unplaced genomic scaffold scaffold00137, whole genome shotgun sequence.